CCUACGGGAGGCUGCAGUGAGGAAUAUUGGUCAAUGGGCACAAGCCUGAACCAGCCAAGUAGCGUGAAGGAUGACUGCCCUACGGGUUGUAAACUUCUUUUAUAAAGGAAUAACGUGAGUCACGUGUGCCUUUUUGUAUGUACUUUAUGAAUAAGGAUCGGCUAACUCCGUGCCAGCAGCCGCGGUAAUACGGAGGCUCCGAGCGUUAUCCGGAUUUAUUGGGUUUAAAGGGAGCGUAGGCGGGAAUUUAAGCGGGCGGUCAAAUGUCGGGGCUCAACCCCGGCCUUCCGUCGGAACUGGGUGCCUUGAGUGGGCGAGAAGCAGGCGGAAUGCGUGGUGUAGCGGUGAAAUGCAUAGAUAUGACGAAGAACCCCGAUUGCGAAGGCAGCAUACCGGAGCGCUACUGACGCUGAGGCACGAAAGUGCGGGUAUCGAACAGGAUUAGAUACCCUAGUAGUC
rnacentral:rRNA from 1 species